GAUGAACGCUGGCGGCGUGCCUAACACAUGCAAGUCGAGCGAUUCUCUUCGGAGAAGAGCGGCGGACGGGUGAGUAACGCGUGGGUAACCUGCCCUGUACACACGGAUAACAUACCGAAAGGUAUGCUAAUACGAGAUAAUAUACUUUUAUCGCAUGGUAGAAGUAUCAAAGCUUUUGCGGUACAGGAUGGACCCGCGUCUGAUUAGCUAGUUGGUAAGGUAACGGCUUACCAAGGCGACGAUCAGUAGCCGACCUGAGAGGGUGAUCGGCCACAUUGGAACUGAGACACGGUCCAAACUCCUACGGGAGGCAGCAGUGGGGAAUAUUGCACAAUGGGCGAAAGCCUGAUGCAGCAGCGCCGCGUGAGCGAUGAAGGCCUUCGGGUCGUAAAGCUCUGUCCUCAAGGAAGAUAAUGACGGUACUUGAGGAGGAAGCCCCGGCUAACUACGUGCCAGCAGCCGCGGUAAGAGUACUCUAU
rnacentral:rRNA from 1 species